rnacentral:rRNA from 1 species
GACGAACGCUGGCGGCGUGCUUAACACAUGCAAGUCGAACGGAAAGGCCCUGCUUUUGUGGGGUGCUCGAGUGGCGAACGGGUGAGUAACACGUGAGUAACCUGCCCUUGACUUUGGGAUAACUUCAGGAAACUGGGGCUAAUACCGGAUAGGAGCUCCUGCUGCAUGGUGGGGGUUGGAAAGUUUCGGCGGUUGGGGCUGGACUCGCGGCUUAUCAGCUUGUUGGUGUGGUAGUGGCGUACCAAGGCUUUGACGGGUAGCCGGCCUGAGAGGGUGACCGGCCACAUUGGGACUGAGAUACGGCCCAGACUCCUACGGGAGGCAGCAGUGGGGAAUAUUGCACAAUGGGCGGAAGCCUGAUGCAGCAACGCCGCGUGCGGGAUGACGGCCUUCGGGUUGUAAACCGCUUUCGCCUGUGACGAAGCGUGAGUGACGGUAAUGGGUAAAGAAGCACCGGCUAACUACGUG